UCAUCAUCAUCAUCUUCAUCAUCGCCGGUAGCGGGGGACUGCAGACUGGAGGCCGGAGCUGCACCGGGAGCAGCGGCUACGGGAGGCCGGGCCGGGCCGGGCCGGGUAGUGCACGGAUAUUUGUUUUAAUCAUAGGAGCAGAAUUAGGCCAUUCGGCCCAUCAAGUCUACUCCGCCAUUCAAUCAAGGCUGGUCUUGAUCAAGAAGAAAGACGUCUAUCUCUCCCUCCUGAUGAUUCUGAUUCAGAUUCAACUUUAAUUGUCAUUGUACAGAGACAACGAAAUGCAGUAACCCCAUUCUCCUGCCUUCUCCCCAUAACCCCUGACACCCGCACUAAUCAACGAUCUAUCAAUCUCUGCCUAAAACAUUUCAAUUUCUCUAACUUCAAAUAACUAUUGCUUUCCCUCUCUCUCUGUCCCUCCCCACCAGAGUUAUCUGUCUAGUUGUACUGUCUUCCUGAUUAAUUUUACUGAUUCUCUACCACCUUCCCCAUAGCCAACCAUGAACCAUUCUACAUUUCCUUACCAUCUGCUUUGAUCUGUCGUUUUCACAUCUAACCCUUCCAUAUCACAGGCAAUUAGACACUAAGUUACAGGGAGAAGACAAGAGAAUGGGGUUGAGGGAGAAAAAUAGAACAGCCACAGUUGUGGACAACGCCUUUUACAGACCAUGAAUGUUAAAGUUUUAAUGGGCUAGAAGGCUUGGUACUUGAAGAUGGAAGUAUUUUGCGAGAAUUGCUCACAGCCUGCAGAUCGAGGAACACUGUAACCAUGCAUUACUCAACAUCUCAAGUCCUCUUCAGAAGGGCAAGUUGACCUGAGCUUUUUGAUCAAAGUCUCAUGAUUUUGUUGAAUAUCUACAGCCGGAAAACAAAAUUACAUUUUCUGAGCGGAUGUGUGGCCUCGAAUUAAAAAGGGAGGAAUAGGACAUUAUUUACCUCAUUGAAAUUCCAGGCACUUAGAUGAGUUCAAAUAACAACAAGGACCUGUUGAAUAGAGAAAGGUUGAUAACAGUGAAGCUGAUAAUAACAGCCAAGCUGGGAAAUUCAUGUUUCAUUUAUAAAAGCACUAUUCAAACCCC